UACGAAGGGGGCUAGCGUUGCUCGGAAUCACUGGGCGUAAAGCGCACGUAGGCGGCUUUCUAAGUCAGGGGUGAAAUCCUGGAGCUCAACUCCAGAACUGCCUUUGAUACUGGAAAGCUUGAGUCCGGGAGAGGUGAGUGGAACUGCGAGUGUAGAGGUGAAAUUCGUAGAUAUUCGCAAGAACACCAGUGGCGAAGGCGGCUCACUGGCCCGGUGCUGACGCUGAGGUGCGAAAGCGUGGGGAGCAAACAGG
rnacentral:rRNA from 1 species